rnacentral:rRNA from 1 species
GAUGAACGCUGGCGGCGUGCCUAAUACAUGCAAGUCGAGCGAACAGACGAGGAGCUUGCUCCUCUGACGCUAGCGGCGGACGGGUGAGUAACACGUGGAUAACCUACCUAUAAGACUGGGAUAACUUCGGGAAACCGGAGCUAAUACCGGAUAAUAUAUUGAACCGCAUGGUUCAAUAGUGAAAGACGGUUUUGCUGUCACUUAUAGAUGGAUCCGCGCCGCAUUAGCUAGUUGGUAAGGUAACGGCUUACCAAGGCGACGAUGCGUAGCCGACCUGAGAGGGUGAUCGGCCACACUGGAACUGAGACACGGUCCAGACGCCUACGGGAGGCAGCAGUAGGGAAUCUUCCGCAAUGGGCGGAAGCCUGACGGAGCAACGCCGCGUGAGUGAUGAAGGUCUUCGGAUCGUAAAACUCUGUUAUUAGGGAAGAACAAAUGUGUAAGUAACUAUGCACGUCUUGACGGUACCUAAUCAGAAAGCCACGGCUAACUACGUG